rnacentral:rRNA from 1 species
UAGGGAAUAUUGCGCAAUGGGGGAAACCCUGACGCAGCAAUGCCGCGUGAGUGAGGAAGGCCUUCGGGUUGUAAAGCUCUGUCCUUGGGGAAAAAUGGUCUUAGGGUUAAUAACCUUAGGAUUUGAUGGUACCCAAGAAGAAAGCACCGGCUAACUUCGUGCCAGCAGCCGCGGUAAUACGAAGGGUGCAAGCGUUGUUCGGAUUUAUUGGGCGUAAAGCGCGCGCAGGCGGGUGCGUAAGUCAGGUGUGAAAUCUCGGGGCUUAACCCCGAAACUGCGCCUGAAACUGCGGACCUUGAAUCUCAGAGGGGAAAGGGGAAUUUCUCAUGUAGGGGUAAAAUCCGUAGAUAUGAGAAGGAACACCAGAGGCGAAGGCGCCUUUCUGGCUGAGCAUUGACGCUGAGGCGCGAAAGCGUGGGGAGCAAACAGG